AAAAGGUAUGAUUAUAACAAAGUUAUUAUUAUUACACAAGAGUUUCCAUUUUCUCUCUUUUGUCUCUCUACUCCUCGUUGCCGGAAACUCCCUCGGCCUGAGAAGCUCCUCCAUCUGUAAUGAUAUCAGAGCAAAGAGAUUGAUCAGUAAGUCCUUACAAUUUUGCUUCGAAUAUGGAGAUGAUAAUUAGAUGUAAAAGUUUAACCUUCACCGCCAUCAGAUGGAGCACAUGGAGACUUCCUGUAUCGCGUCUGCUGCUGGGUUGGCUGCAAAAAAAUGGGACGAGAUCUUAGGACUGGAAACAAACCGCAGAGAGAAAAGAUACAAACUAGAACGUGGUGAUAAAGCUCAUUUAC
rnacentral:lncRNA from 1 species